rnacentral:tRNA from 1 species
GCGGGUAUAGCUUAAUGGUAGAGCACGUGCUUAGCGUGCGCAAAGUUCUGGGUUCAACCCCUGGUUCCUCUG